rnacentral:rRNA from 1 species
UCUUGACGUAACCCAUAGAAGAAGCACCGGCUAACUCUGUGCCAGCAGCCGCGGUAAUACAGAGGGUGCAAGCGUUAAUCGGAAUUACUGGGCGUAAAGCGCGCGUAGGCGGCUUUGCAAGUCGGGUGUGAAAUCCCCAGGCUUAACCUGGGAACUGCAUUCGAGACUGCAUUGCUAGAGUAUGGGAGAGGGAAGUGGAAUUUUCCGGUGUAGCGGUGAAAUGCGUAGAUAUCGGAAAGGAACAUCAGUGGCGAAAGCGACUUCCUGGACCAAUACUGACGCUCAUGUGCGAAAGCGUGGGGAGCAAAACAGGAUUAGAUACCCCUGGUAGUCCACGCCAUAAAACGAUGAGAAACUGGAUGUCAGGAGGGUCUGCCUCUCGGUGUCGUAGCUAACGCGUUAAGUUCUCCGC